rnacentral:misc_RNA from 1 species
UACGUAAGGUGCAAGCGUUAUCCGGAAUUAUUGGGCGUAAAGCGUCCGUAGGUGGUUGUGUUAGUCUGAGGUUAAAUCCCUUCGCUCAACGGAGGAAUCGUCUCGGAAACUGCACAACUUGAGGAAUGCAGGGGCAAGUGGAAUUCCAGAAGUAGGGGUAAAAUCCGUAGAUCUCUGGAGGAACACCAAACGCGAAGGCAUCUUGCUGGGCAUUUCCUGACGCUGAGGGACGAAAGCGUGGGGAGCGAAGAGG